AAUAGAACCACUCUCUGUGUCAGCUUAUGGAUUUGAAUGGUUACGACGGUUGGGGCGAACAAAACCGUCAAUGGAUCAGAUCGUUUUUUGUUUUAUCAUUCAUCAAAAAUAGUCCGCAGUGGUCCGGACCAAAAAAAAUAGAAGAAAACCGCUGCGGACCAUCUGCAGACCGUUUUUACAUACAAAUAAACUUGGUUUACAGCGAUUUAUAGUCCGCCCCAAAAAUGAGAUGGAGUAAACCGCAGACAAAUUAGACCGCUUUGUCCGCUGCCUCCAUUCAUAACCUAUAAAUCAUAUAAAAAAGUUCGUAGACAAAUUUGCUACGCAUCAU
rnacentral:sRNA from 1 species